AGCGAACGCUGGCGGCAGGCCUAACACAUGCAAGUCGAACGAACCUUUCGGGGUUAGUGGCGGACGGGUGAGUAACACGUGGGAACGUGCCUUUAGGUUCGGAAUAACUCAGGGAAACUUGUGCUAAUACCGAAUGUGCCCUUCGGGGGAAAGAUUAAUCGCCUUUAGAGCGGCCCGCGUCUGAUUAGCUAGUUGGUUGAGGUAAUGGCUCACCAAGGCGACGAUCAGUAGCUGGUCUGAGAGGAGGAUCCGCCACAUUGGGACUGAGACACGGCCCAAACUCCUACGGGAGGCAGCAGUGGGGAAUCUUGCGCAAUGGGCGAAAGCCUGACGCAGCCAUGCCGCGUGAAUGAUGAAGGUCUUAGGAUUGUAAAAUUCUUUCACCGGGGACGAUAAUGACGGUACCCGGAGAAGAAGCCCCGGCUAACUUCGUG
rnacentral:rRNA from 1 species